AUUGACUUCAGCAGUGGUGCAGCCAAGAGCCUGAAACGUUCAUUUCUGAGCGUUCUGGGGCCGAGCUCCUUCCUUAGAGUUUACCAGCACCAUUGCUUCAGCAAAGUUAUAACCAACAGCUCUUUCUGCCCAGGAACGGACUCAUAAGGCCCAGUUGGGAGAAUGACAGCUCUGCCCUGCUGUGGGGAGCUCCGCUGAGGCCUGGUCCGAAGCACCGGUCUGGUAGACACGAGGUACCAACGCUUCCUGCUCCUACCAACAAAACUCCCACAGAUGAAAGCUUGUCUCACGUAAGAGAACUGUUGAAAAACUGUUUCUAUGGACAUAAAAUCUGACAUGAUGAUAAUCUGAAACUGCUCACUCCCCAAGGAUGACAAAACUCCAGAAACUUCAAAGCGAAGAAAGAAUUGCCAGAGGGGAAAUUGUAAUUAAAAUUAGAUAACCUGUAUGAAAAGCAUCCAAUUUGUAGCCUAUAAAAGCGUUUUAGAACCACAGUUCUUCAGCCCCAGGACCAUAGCUGUAGUCAUUAUCUCAAGACUUUCACAGCAGAAUCAAAACAUGUUAAUUUGUUAAUGAGUCAGUAUGUAGCAGUAAGGAAAAGACACUAACAAGGAAUACAAACAGAAAGACUGCAUUGCUAUUUUUAAGCAAAUGCACUGUUUAAGUCAAGUCAAAACUUUGAUUCCUGUGAAAGUGCCUCAUCCCUUCCUGAGAAUGUGAUUUAAAAGUGAGGGAAUUGGCCUCUUCCAGACUUUAUCUUAGCCAGAUGAGCAAGAAGCACAUCAUUGAGCCUUUCAGACAGCAUGGUUUCAUCUCAAGCUGUCUCGGCAGGAAUAGGGGCUGCUUUCAUACCUACACCGGGCUGGGAGGCUGGGGAGAGGAGAGGGGUCACCCCAGAGUGCCUUCUCUCCCGGCAGGGAUCCCAUGAGCCACCUCUGAGUCCCACCACCACACAACUUCCGUGUGAUAAAGUGUGCAGAGCACACAAAGCAACCUCCGACAGCCAAAUAAUGGCCUUGCUUGUUUUAACUACCUGCAUGGAGUGGGGAGGCAGCUGCUGGACUAAGGAUUGUAUGGAGUGCUUUUGGCCUGAGAAUCUGUGAGAUGUCAAAAAGCAAAGAGAAACCCCGAACCCAGGUGAGAAAGUAGAUUUCUUCUUGUUUCCACACUUCCCACCAGCGUUUUUUUCAUCCACCCUCUGGUUUGCAGCAGCUAAUCCAUAAAUCUGGCGCGUCACCAACCUGACUGCUCUGCUAGUGGCUGCUCUCCCAGCAGGGCAGAGAUGGAGGCUUCCCCGUGCCGUGCCAACACAGCGCAGCAAAAAUAUAAUUUCCAGCUAAUUAUUGUGUGCCUCAGAUUAGGAGAGGAUUAAGGACUGCUCUGAGAGUUUGGGUUGUUGUGGGGUUGGAGUGCUGAAGUGCAAUGGGGAGAGAUAGGCAGUGGAAAGAAAAACCCAAAGAGGAAUACAAAAAGGAAAUUGAACAGGGGCAAGGGAGAUGGGAUGGUGAAGGGGUGGAAGUGAGGAAAAGGAAACAUUGAAUAUGAAGGAGGAAAAGUAGGGGAGUCUGAAAACCCAUGGAUUGGGACUUCUUAAGACAAAAGAACUUCAGCCACUUCAGGUCAAAUAUUUUUUCUUUCCUUCUGCAUUGCACUGUGGCUGUCAUCUUUAUUCUAAAAGGGAUUUAAGGCCUGAUGAUGUCAAUGCUUUCAGGUAAUGCAGAACUCAGGAAAAUUUUAAGGCAAAAACAGCCCUUUCCAUCAGUUGGCUGCUGAGUGCCUGAACACUAGAUCUGGGACAACCCGCUGGUAUUUUCAGGAGAAUGUCUCCUCAGCUGGCACAUUAGCAGCAUUGGUAGCCCCAAGGAAACCCUGUGGUGUGAUGGCAGAAUGGGUUACCUGGAAAUUAGGGACUGUGGGAGAACAACUUGAUCUUAUCAGUGCCCAAAACCCAUUGUUGCCAAGUCCUCUCUCUUUUAUAUGGUCAGUAAAAUUUGAGAUCCAAAGGCACAUCCAAAUCCACCUGCAUCUUACUCUUCUUUGCUCUUUCUGGUUCUGUCUUUUAGAUCAAAUCCCAUUUGCUGCUCCAUCCUCAUUCAGCACCUUGUAACUGGAGUUUCUGAGUGAGCCACAGAGAACAGCAUAUAGUGUUCACACACACAGGUGUGUGUGCUACGUCAGCACAAAUGAAAGCAGGAGAGGGACCCACUCUGAUUACCUCCCUUCACUAAGGAGUCCAUGGGCCAGAGAGGUUAAGAGAAGAAAAUGGUCUUGAGGGAAAAGUCAGAUUAACAGGGGAGUAAGGAGUUAUCUUCGAGGUCUGAAUCUCAUAAUUAGCCAGGGCAGACUUCUCUUUGUCCCAGGAUCAAAAAAUAAUAAUAAUGGCUGAUGUACUAGGUUACUUCCCAAGCGAGCCACCUCAUUGCCUUCGGUAACUUCACAAUAUAAUAACAAUCAGGAGGAUGAGAUUCAAUCUUUUCCAGAUAAGAAAGCAGGGAGGAGGUAGGUGUUUUCUCUGUACCUACCUUCACGUGACAUGGUAAUCUAGUGUCUUGUACCUGACAGUGGGGAAAAGCUGCACGUCUUCCUAAACGCUCUUGCACAUGGCCUACACUUGCAAACACUUAUGAUAAAGUAUUCAUUAUAUCAUUUCUGCCUAAAGCAAAAAUAUUCUGGAGAUCUGAUUUAAAAAGCACUUAUCUCAUGCUGGUCUCUAUUUAUGGGAGCAGUGACUCCAGGUACUGCUAUUAUUAGCACUGUUACGAAUGCUAUUUGUGUUUUGUUGCAACACUUUUCAUUUAAUCUAACAUCCCAAGGCACUUUCUAAAAAAAGUUGUUUCAUAUCAGUAGUGCCAGAUGUAAGUAAAUAUUCUUCCAGCCAGGGAUUUACCUUCAGCUGGGGACUGUAGGCUGCUGGCUGUUGCAUGGGCCCAGAACUCAGCAGAUCUGGAUCCCAUUUGUAGUUUUUAUAAAAUCUUCCUUACUGAAUGAAAAGUUGUUCAAUGAUUGAAACCUUGGGGGAAGAAGGAGGUUGUGAAGCAAUGGAGUCAGCCGCUGGGUUCUUUACCUUUCUGAAUCUUUUUAUAUAAAGAAGGUGCUUCGGGCCCUCCAUGUGCUACUCCCCGUGUUGUCAAGCUGUGCGUGAUUCAAACCAGAAGAAAUAUCAAGGGACUCAGGUAGCGAAGUGCUUUUCGAACAUGCUGCUGGACACACAGCCCCAGCACAGCAACCCUUGGUUAUCAGGCAGCCCAGAGGGGGCAGGAGAAUUGCUGGAGCCCCCUGGGUCCCGGCCAGGUGCAGGCUGACGUGUUCCUGCUCUUGCUGGUCUAACCGGGGAUGGCUGGAUCCCAGCUCAUGCCAGGCUGCGGCCUGAACGUCCGUGCACCCUGCUUUCCAGAUCACGGAAUUACAGCCAUGCAGUGCGGAUGAGAGGUGAGGGAAGGGGACCUGGCUCAUUUUAAAUGGAGACAACAGCAUCAUAUCUGUGUAUCUAGUUGGUACAGCUUUACUAGCACAGCAGGAUGGGAGGUAGAAAUAGGGAGUCUUCAAGGAUUCUGCCUUCUGGAAGGUUUUAUCCCAUCAAGUUUCCACAGUAGUUUCAACUAUCCACAAUAGUUGAUAGGAGGAUGCACAAUAGUUGGUAUGGGUUUGGUGCACAAGGAAAAAGCCACACAGUAUCGCUGUCAGUGCAGAAACACCUGAGGGACCAUGAGAACAGAGGACGUCAGGUGACUCUCCCAUGCAGUAAAUGCCAUGGACAAAUAUAAUCAAGUAUAAUAGUAUGUGCUAGAAACUUAAACAUCCUGGUGAAGACUUUCAUUCAGGAAAUAGGGACGGCAAUGCAUGCCUGCUUCAAAGCCUGUGAUUUUAAUUAUGUCUAACCAGGGACAAAUAUGUCUCCUUCAUUUAUUAUUUGCCAUUCUGCUCUGGCCUGGAAAGUGGUACUACACUGGGUUUUAUUAUCAGCCUUUCUGCUGCUCCACAUAAAGUGUGGAGGGUCGUACCAAUCCCCUGAAUCAUUCACUCAGCAACAUUGUUUGGGUUUGGUUUAGGAUGUUUCUCAAAUUCGAGUUGAGGCUGGUUUGAUGUUUCACUCUUCAAAGUUAUUCACCACCCAGCCCUUCUGUGGCUCCACUGAGUUCAGAAGUUGGCACUAGAGCCAUGUGCUGUAUCUGAGCUUUCACAAUAGCAGCCAAACAAAUUAAUCUUUUCCAAAGAUGCAACAUGGAAGACUAUUGCAUCUUCUGUUUUUAUGGCUGUGAUUUUGCUUUAUUUCACUCUCAGACUCUAAGCCUCACUUGGUGCCAUUUCUUUGCCUUGAGUACCGAAUAACUCUUUACAUGCUGAAGAUAUAAUUUGCUGCCUCCUAACUCUAGUCCUAUAAACCAGGGCUGUACACCAGUCGAGGCUUUUCUGUGAACAAAUCCAAACUGACCUGCAACUCUAGCAGCAUUCUUGUUUCAUGGUACCUUUCAUUUGAAGGUCAGACUGUAGGUUACUGUAGGUUACUACCUUUUAAUUAAGAGAAUAGGGAUAGAGACGAGGAGCUGUCUCGUAUCCCAGACUGUCAGUGUCAGCUGAUCCGUGUUACACAAUAUAAAAUAUUUGGACUGUUGGAAUUUGAGAGUGACGAUAAAUAACAUUGAGCUCUUUCAUGGUGGUGUCCAUUUGACAUUAACACUGCAAGCUUUCCCAGCCAAACAAAAAGAAAAUGUCAUUAUAGUUUCUUUGAACCUUGCUAUAUAGCUGAACUAGAUGCAAAUCCAAGGAUGCCUUCCUCUGGGCUCUCCCUGCUUUAAUCGUAGCCGACUCUGUCUGUUAUGUCCAAGCAUAAAGCCCAAAUCCAUUCUUACCUGGCAGAAACAUUUCCUCCCUUGCAUGCUGGAGUUAACUCUGGCCCCAGUCAGCUGAAGCACAAGUAUUUACACAAGUACUUACAUUUGUAUUUGCAGUGGGUGUGCAGGAAAACAGAUGGUUGGAUAGAUCUUUCUCGUUCCACUAAGCAAGAACAAAAACCUAUUCCUUUUUCUCAGCCAUGGCAGGACACCUGAUUUAAACGUAGAUGCUAGCUGGUAUUCUGUAACUGCCGCGUGGUGCAGCUUGAGUCAACAGCGGGCCGAAGGUAAGAUAUUGCUGCAGUGCGUUCAAAGUCCUUUGCGUUGCCUGUUGGACACAAGCAUUACCUCGAAAGGACCUAAAAUAAGAAAGUCAUGUUAAUGAUAAGCUUGCUCUUGGCCUGGACAACAUGGAGCACCAUCACGGGAAGUUUGGCUCCCCAUUUCACAGCAGGUUGUCCCUGCAACAGGGACGUGAAAAAGGAGGAGGUGGUAUAAUGUUGGGGAAGCUCUGGCAGGACACGGAGCUGCCCGAUGGAAGGGCUGCCAGCAGUCCUCACAGCUCUCCGGGUGGGCUUCUCAAAACAGUGCUGGGCACCUCCUGAACCCUUCCCCUCCCAGCCCACCACCCCUCCAGGGUCACAAGGGGCAGCUGGAGUCGCUCUUCGUGAUGACUCGAGCAGUACAAACAGUGGGGGAAUCUCUCCCCUUGUGAAUCACCACAAAUGGAAAAUAAUCGUCUUAUAAAGAUACAAUCUCUGCAACCAGCAAAACUUUGUCAGCACAAGAAUAAGACAUUCUCUGUAAUCCUGUCCUCGCUGAAAGAAGUUUAUUCAAGUAUUUAUCUAACCUUGUAUUUAACCAGGAAAUCCAGCUGAGCUAAUCACUUUCUGCCAAAGAAGUAUUUGGGCACUCGUCUGCCAUGACAUUUUUGAACGAUUCUGUACACUCUGGCCAUUCUUCUAAUGGUUUAAUCACACCCAGAAAGAGUCACACAUUUUUCAAUGAUGUUUCUCUCAAAAAAUCAAAGAGCGUUGUCAUCGGAGGAGACUUAAGAAAAUGCUGUGCAUUGUUUGCAGAGGUGACGCCCCAGGAUGAGAGAGGCCAAGUGGUUCUGCCUCACGUGCUUUGUAUGGACCCUUUCUUCCCCCUUCGAACUUAACUCACUUCCAUUCUGCACUUUACGUCUGUUCUGCAGUAAUGCUCUCACCCACUGAGAUUACAGACGAGGCUCAUUUUUGUUCCGUAACCCUUUGUUCCUAAGGGUUUGGUGGCUUGGUUACCUCUGUCCAUAUCCUGCCUCAGAAACAGCACUGCAAUGUUGCUGCAUGUCGUCUCAUGAGUCGCAAGGUGUGCACAAACACACAGUUUGUGACGAGCUUAUGGGUAGAAGGACGUAUGGGAGAAUCCCAAGGUUAUACUUUAUAUGGAACUUAUGUGGAUUUUAAUAUGGAAUUUAUAUGUGUAACAAAAAUCCUGGGAAUGCUGGCUUUGCAGUUAUUCUGGGCGCAGACUGGCACAAAACAGCCUCAAGGCCAGUGGCUUAGGGAACUGCCACUGCCCGCUCCGUAACACCAGCCUGGGCACCGCGUGCCUCAGUUUCCCUGCAGGUAAGACGGUGGUGAUGGGCCUGACCUCAUUCAGGGCCUGGGGAUGAGCAGCGCUACGUACAUCUGCUCUGAACGUCUGGGCGCCCUCCUACCCCAGCCCUUGCAAUGGGAGCGUGAGUGGCAAAACCAGCCCCAGGCAUCCCUGGAUUUUACCACCUCAUCCCACCUCUGUCUGUGCAAGACUCACGUGUUAACAUCACCAAAAAAAGAGAAAAAAACAAAACAAAAAAAAAGAAAAAGAAAAAGGCAGACACUUGAGACUCACCCCCUUCCUUGUCCUUUGGAAGGAUUAUUCAACAAUAAUGAUUGUCAAAUAAUUAGCCACCACCCCCCCUCCAUUGUCCCCGUCAGAUCGUGGCUGUGCUGAGUCAGGCUGCGGCAAGGCGCCCGCAGGCUCUGGGUGUCCCUGGCACCCCGAGGCGCUCUGCGAGGCUCCCCCCUGAGAUCCCCUACAGCCACCCGCGUGGGGACACCCAUCCUAGGCGGCACGGAGCUGCCUCCAACACCAGUGGGAACCAAAAGGCUCAUAGCAAAGCCUCUGUGCUCCCAGCACCUUGCAGGAUCAGGCCUCCAGUAAGAAAGUCAUGCGGACGUGGCCACAGCCAAAUGCGAAACAGCUGAACGUGCUGCAGCUGGGCGCAUUGUCUUCAGAUCAGGCCCUCUAAGAAUUAAAACCAAGUGUGCGAUCUGAGCAUGCCGAAAUGAACUCCAAAUGAAAUUCGAGUUAGCUCUCUCCUUAGCAGGGAGCACAGGAUCAGAUUGUUAGGUUUUAAUAAAGUGUGGCCAGCGUUUUAAUAAAGUGUGGCUAGUACAUUAUCCAACAUGCUUUUGCAAUUACUGCAGAAACAAGGACAGGAACUUCAUUAACACUUUACAGGGGAAAGAAAGCUGUGCUACAGUCAAGUGAUAUAUUGCUAUUGUGACUGUAGGUGUCCUGCAUUUAAGAAAACAAGGAAAAAUCCUGGGGAAGGGAGUAAUUACACUGUCAGCAAACGUGUUUGUGUUAGCAAUGAGCAAUUCCCUUCCAAGCCCCGCAGCUGCCGGGAGCCUGCAUCGCAACAUGGCCAAUUUCUGGGACAGAAGGUGACUCCAUAAACGCAGCAAGAGCUGUAAUGUGAGAGACAAAACUCCUGAAGGGAAAAGAGGGAAUUAAAAAAAAAAAAAAAAAGGCAAACCGACAAAAAGCAUGCAGAAUCAUUUACAAAAUGUGUUUUCCAGGCGGCUGCAACAACCGCUGGCAGGAUUAGGCUUACCGCUUUUAAAGCGGAGGUUAACUGCUUUGAUAGAGCACAGGUGAGGUGUAUCUUCUGCGUGCAUGUCAGGCAGGAUUAGCCACUUGGCAAAUUAUCAAAGCCAACUGAUAGCAAAACAAGUUGGGACUCUCCUACAGUGGCAGUUUAAAACUAGGUGUAACUUCACCCAAAACAAAUGAAUACAGCGGGGGUGUGAGGGGACUACCUAAGUGAUUAACCCUUCAUUCACUUCCCAGCAGGUUACAGUGUUUUGCAGAAUUCAAGGAGGUCUCGAGAGACUUAAGAGGGUGUUGGGUAGCUGGGAGUAGACUUCAGUUACUGGGAAAUACAAACAAGUUUAUACGCUCACAGCAAACACAUGUCUUCGUUUGGCGGCCCGGCUACCCCAACAAGAUCAUGCAGCUUGUGGAAACUCGGGGAGUAACCAGUUUUGUAGCACUGCAUAUGGAAAACCAGGCAUGCAAAACUGGAUGCUGGGCUGAAAAUGUGGCGUGUCGGGGAUAAUGAACGAGACGGGAGGCAAUUAACAGGAGAAAAGUGACAAUCUGACAACAUGCUCAAUUAAUGUAAUCAGAUAGCACAUUCACUUCGUGGAUGUAGUAAAUCAAAGCAUAACUAGGAAUGAUAUGAACUUUUUAAUAUUAAAAACUAUUCCCAUAAUAUGCAAAGUCAGGGAAUACCAGUAAAUUUGUCUGUCUGUUGCCAAUCAUUAACUGAUUUAGGAUAGACCUUGUUGAGUAAUUAUAUUUAAUAAGAGCUUGUCCAUACAAGCUGCUAUCAGAUGUCAUUUUAUACAGUUUCAAACCAGAUAUAAUGGCUGAGCUGCACACAUUAACUCUCUGUAAUACUGUACUGUCUUUUUAUGGGAGACGGGUGGGAAAAUUCAAAACUGAUUAUUGUGUGGCUUCCUUUCAGACAGUUGUAUUUGAUCUAAUUUGAUUUAUUGCUGCACAUUUUGAAUGAGCAGAAAUGUCUUGAGGGGAAACGAGACUUGUUACAGUAAUGUUCGCAUUAAUAUAAUUUCACCUGCUUGCUUGGUGGGCUGCGCAGUUGGCUGUGUUCAUUACUGUUUGGGAGUCUUCUGUAUUAAAAAGCUCCUCUUUAUCUAUUUGCUCUCUCAUAGAGAUGUAAUGAGAUUCCCACACCCUCCACAAGUGGUGAUUGUGUAACUAAUCCAUGCUGGCA